rnacentral:tRNA from 1 species
AAGGGAGACCUAAUUCAGGUAGGAGACGAAAAAAAAGUAGUCGCUACCAAGAAUCAAUCCCAAAAGGUCGGAGCGAGGCGAAAUUGGCUUUCAAACUAGGUUCUGGGUUCACACAAGACCUGAAUCAGGAACAAGGGCUAUUAGCUCAGGUGGUUAGAGCGCACCCCUGAUAAGGGUGAGGUCCCUGGUUCGAGUCCAGGAUGGCCCACCUGCACAGGUGGCAAAAAGAAAGAAAAGAAGCGAGGAAUCAGCACCUUAUCUUACUGACAUAGUAAGAGAGAAUGCUGGCUCUGAGUAAAGAGUCCAGAGGAACCUUGAAAACUGCAUAGAGCUAGGUGAAAAAGCCAAAAAAGAAGACCGCAA